rnacentral:rRNA from 1 species
GACGAACGCUGGCGGCGUGCUUAACACAUGCAAGUCGAACGGAAAGGCCCUGCUUUUGUGGGGUGCUCGAGUGGCGAACGGGUGAGUAACACGUGAGUAACCUGUCCUUGACUGUGGGAUAACUUCAGGAAACUGGGGCUAAUACCGGAUAGGAGCUCCUGCUGCAUGGUGGGGGUUGGAAAGUUUCGGCGGUUGGGGAUGGACUCGCGGCUUAUCAGCUUGUUGGUGGGGUAGUGGCUUACCAAGGCUUUGACGGGUAGCCGGCCUGAGAGGGUGACCGGCCACAUUGGGACUGAGAUACGGCCCAGACUCCUACGGGAGGCAGCAGUGGGGAAUAUUGCACAAUGGGCGGAAGCCUGAUGCAGCAACGCCGCGUGCGGGAUGACGGCCUUCGGGUUGUAAACCGCUUUCGCCUGUGACGAAGCGUGAGUGACGGUAAUGGGUAAAGAAGCACCGGCUAACUACGUG